rnacentral:tRNA from 1 species
GCGGGGAUAGCCAAGCAGUAAGGCAGGAGGCUGCAACCCUCCCAUCCUGGGUGCAAAUCCCGGUCCCCGCU